rnacentral:rRNA from 1 species
GAUGAUGAACWUUCGGUGCMUAAAUCCUGUCAGUGGGGACGAACCGGCCAGGUAGUAACUGACCUGGUCCUGACGGUACCCGCAGAGGAAGUUCCGGCUAACUCCGUGCCAGCAGCCGCGGUAAUACGGGGGGAACAAGCGUUGUUCGGAUUUACUGGGCGUAAAGGGCGUGUAGGCGGACUAACAAGUCAGAGGUGAAAACCGCGGGCUCAACCCGCGGCCUGCCUUUGAAACUGUCAGUCUUGAGUACGGGAGAGGAAAGCGGAAUUCCAGGUGUAGCGGUGACAUGCGUAGAUAUCUGGAAGAACAUCGGUGGCGAAGGCGGCUUUCUGGACCGAUACUGACGCUGAGGCGCGAAAGCUAGGGGAGCAAACAGGAUUAGAUACCCUGGUAGUCCUAGCUGUAAACGAUGGGUACUAGGUGUUGSGGGUWUGACCCCYSCAGUGCCGCAGCUAACGCAUUAAGUGAUCCGCCUGGGGAGUACGGUCGCAAGAUUAAAACUCAAAGGAAUUGACGGGGGCCCGCACAAGCGGUGGAGCAUGUGGUUUAAUUCGACGCAACGCGAAGAACCUUACCUGGACUUGACAUCCCGAGAAUGUUUAUGAAAGUAGACAGUGCACUUCGGUGAACUKGGUGACAGGUGCUGCAUGGCUGUCGUCAGCUCGUGYCGUGAGRUGUUGGGUUAAGUCCCGCAACGAGCGCAACCCYUGUCUUUAGUUGCCAUCAGMUUAUGUUGGGRACUCUAAGGAUACUGCCGGUGACAAACCGGAGGAAGGUGGGGAUGACGUCAAGUCCUCAUGGCCCUUACAUCCAGGGCUACACACGUACUACAAUGGCCGGUACAGAAGGCAGCAAUACCGUGAGGUGGAGCUAAUCCCAAAAACCGGUCUCAGUUCGGAUUGGAGUCUGCAACUCGACUCCAUGAAGUCGGAAUCGCUAGUAAUCGCGUAUUAGCAAUGACGCGGUGAAUACGUUCCCGGGGCUUGUACACACCGCCCGUCAAGCCACGGAAGUUGGGGGCACCCAAAGUCGUUUGCCUAACCGUAAGGAAGGCGGGCCUAAGGUAAACCAAGAUGGGU